rnacentral:tRNA from 1 species
GGACGUAUGGCCCAGUGGUAGAGCAUGUGCUUAGCACGCAUGAGGCCCUGGGUUCAGUCCCCAGCACCCCA